GCUGCCUAUGAUACGCCUGCACUCCACCAGAUGUUGUUUACAUUUUAGUGCAAUCACUAUUCAGGUACAAGUUAAUUUGACACCUUCGUGCACGCACUGAAUGUAGCUGUUGAAUAGCAUCAGGGUUGCUUUCAUGAUCUUCAACAAUGCAUGGUGUUCUCGAGUUGACUCGGUGUCCCGACACAAAGUUUGACGUUACGGACCCGCUGGGCUUAGCUUUCAGGAUGUGAAUUUCAGAACGCAAGGUUGUUGAUGCUUGAGAUCCUCCUAAACACUUACCUGGGGCACGUUGAAGUGUGCUCUGCUCAAAUGCUGUUGCACUGUGGAACAUGGUAUCCUCAAACCAAACAUCUAAUUGGAGUAACACGUUUCGAUUAAACUGCUUCAGUGCAUUUCCGUCCCGGUCAACUUUUGAAGAAUAUCUCCAUUAUGUAACAGAAGCUUUAUUUUUGGUCGAUGAUCUAUUUCAAUGUUAA